GAUGAACGCUGGCGGCGUGCCUAAUACAUGCAAGUCGAGCGAACGGACGAGAAGCUUGCUUCUCUGAUGUUAGCGGCGGACGGGUGAGUAACAUGUGGAUAACCUACCUAUAAGACUGGGAUAACCUCGGGAAACCGUAGCUAAUACCGGAUAAUAUUUUGCACCGCAUGGUUCAAAAGUGAAUGACGGUCUUGCUGUCACUUAUAGAUGGAUCCGCGCUGCAUUAGAUAGUUGGUAAGGUAACGGCUUACCAAGGCAACGAUGCAUAGCCGACCUGAGAGGGUGAUCGGCCACACUGGAGCUGGGACACGGUCCAGACUCCUACGGGAGGCAGCAGUAGGGAAUCUUCCGCAAUGGGCGAAAGCCUGACGGAGCAACGCCGCGUGAGUGAUGAAGGUCUUCGGAUCGUAAAACUCUGUUAUUAGGGAAGAACAUAUGUGUAAGUAACUGUGCACAUCUUGACGGUACCUAAUCAGAAAGCCACGGCUAACUACGUG
rnacentral:rRNA from 1 species